UACGUAGGGUGCUAGCGUUGUCCGGAAUUAUUGGGCGUAAAGCGCUUGUAGGCGGCACGUCAAGUCGCGUGUGAAAUCCCCAGGCUUAACCUGGGAAGUGCGCGCGAAACUGACGAGCUUGAGUGCCGGAGAGGGUCGCGGAAUUCCCGGUGUAGAGGUGAAAUUCGUAGAUAUCGGGAGGAACACCAGUGGCGAAGGCGGCGACCUGGACGGACACUGACGCUGAGACGCGAAAGCGUGGGGAGCAAACAGG
rnacentral:rRNA from 1 species